GGAGCUUGCUCCAGGCGUCGAGCGGCGGACGGGUGAGUAAUGCAUAGGAAUCUGCCCGGUAGUGGGGGAUAACCGGGGGAAACCCAGGCUAAUACCGCAUACGUCCUACGGGAGAAAGCAGGGGAUCUUCGGACCUUGCGCUAUCGGAUGAGCCUAUGUCGGAUUAGCUUGUUGGUGAGGUAAUGGCUCACCAAGGCGACGAUCCGUAGCUGGUCUGAGAGGAUGAUCAGCCACAUCGGGACUGAGACACGGCCCGAACUCCUACGGGAGGCAGCAGUGGGGAAUAUUGGACAAUGGGCGAAAGCCUGAUCCAGCCAUGCCGCGUGUGUGAAGAAGGCUUUCGGGUUGUAAAGCACUUUCAGUGAGGAAGAAGGCCUUGGGGCCAAUACCCCCGAGGAAGGACAUCACUCACAGAAGAAGCACCGGCUAACUCCGUGCCAGCAGCCGCGGUAAUACGGAGGGUGCGAGCGUUAAUCGGAAUUACUGGGCGUAAAGCGCGCGUAGGUGGCGUGAUAAGCCGGUUGUGAAAGCCCCGGGCUCAACCUGGGAACGGCAUCCGGAACUGUCAGGCUAGAGUGCAGGAGAGGAAGGUAGAAUUCCCGGUGUAGCGGUGAAAUGCGUAGAGAUCGGGAGGAAUACCAGUGGCGAAGGCGGCCUUCUGGACUGACACUGACACUGAGGUGCGAAAGCGUGGGUAGCAAACAGGAUUAGAUACCCUGGUAGUCCACGCCC
rnacentral:rRNA from 1 species